rnacentral:rRNA from 1 species
UGUGCAAAGGUAGCAUAAUCGUUUGUCUCUUGAUUAGAGUCUGGAAUGAAUGGUUGGAUGAGGAAUUGACUUUCUUUGUUUUAUAUAGGAAAAUUUAACUUUUAGGUCAAAAGGCUUAGAUUUUAUUGGAGGACGAGAAGACCCUAUAGAACUUUAUUAUUAUAAAAUUAUUUAUCUUUUGUUAAUAAUUGUUAUUUAAUUUAUUAGAUAAUUUUGUUGGGGUGACAAAAAAAAUUUUAUAUCUUUUUUUAUUUUAUUCAUUUGUUUAUGAUAUAUUUAUCCUUUAUUAAGGAAAUAAGAUUAAGUUACCUUAGGGAUAACAGCGUUAUUACUUUGGAGAGUUCAUAUUGAUGAAGUAGUUUGCGACCUCGAUGUUGGAUUAAAAUUGGUUUCAGGAGUAAAAGAUUGAUUUACUGGGUCUGUUCGACCUUUAAAAUUUUACAUGAUCUGAGUU